rnacentral:rRNA from 1 species
AGCGAACGCUGGCGGCAGGCCUAACACAUGCCAGUCGAACGAACCUUUCGGGGUUAGUGGCGCACGGGUGAGUAACACGUGGGAACGUGCCUUUAGGUUCGGAAUAACUCAGGGAAACUUGUGCUAAUACCGAAUGUGCCCUUCGGGGGAAAGAUUAAUCGCCUUUAGAGCGGCCCGCGUCUGAUUAGCUAGUUGGUUGAGGUAAUGGCUCACCAAGGCGACGAUCAGUAGCUGGUCUGAGAGGAUGAUCAGCCACAUUGGGACUGAGACACGGCCCAAACUCCUACGGGAGGCAGCAGUGGGGAAUCUUGCGCAAUGGGCGAAAGCCUGACGCAGCCAUGCCGCGUGAAUGAUGAAGGUCUUAGGAUUGUAAAAUUCUUUCACCGGGGACGAUAAUGACGGUACCCGGAGAAGAAGCCCCGGCUAACUUCGUG